rnacentral:lncRNA from 1 species
GUUAUAGGUUGCAUUUCUGUUAAUAUUGACAAUGCAAUUUCCCAUAGGAACUUCAUUUACGGUUAAAACUGUCCCACUUUUACUAUGAAGUUUUGAAAAAAUCUUAUCCUAGAAUUGAAAGUCCAUAUGCACUACAAUUGUUUUCAAAGAUCAAAAUAUAGGGCUGUGCGGUAUAUUUUCAACGUUUAUAUGCCCUGAACUUUUCAGAGUUUAAACUAACACUAAUUGUCUUUACGACCCC